AUGGCUAGUAAUUGGAGUUUCAGACAAUUUGGGGAGGUAAUUUGUAGCCAAUAUCCUUGGGGUUUGCUUGAUGAAGUGGUACACAAAUACUACGAUGGUGAAAAGAAAUGGGUGACAGUUAGUAAUGAUGAAGAGCUAGCUACCAUGUUUGUUAGGCAUAAAGAGAAAGAUAAUUUUCAUGUGAUGCUGCAAGUUGAUGUGCUUGAGCAGGCAUUUGGACCUAGGAUGACGGGUGCAACAUCUCGGGGAGAACCAAUUCGUAAUGGCAUCUCUAGCCAGAACAGUUCAGUUGGUGCACGACGACGUGGUGGCUCGACAAGUGUGGGCAACAACAGUAGGGUCUCCCUUGAAGUGGAGCAUGAUGACUACAGUUCUGGGGUUGAUGAAGAGAAGCUAUAUUCUGACAUUAUUCGGAAUUUAUGA
rnacentral:rRNA from 1 species